rnacentral:lncRNA from 1 species
GGCUGAUGGUGUGAAUGUCCGUAUGUAAGCAUCUGCAUGUAAGCAUCUGUUUGUGUGCUUCCGGAUGUUAAUUCAUUGCUCAGAGAUGGAGCUCGGCUGUGCUGCCCAGAGGCCAUAGGCUAAACGGGUGGUUGUGCUUGUUGCUGGUGUUUAUCUCCCUCCAGCAUAUCAAGGAAGCUGUAAGCUCGGCAACCGUUCUCCCAAUUGCUUUCUCUACAUAAACUGCUUAAGGGAAGUACGCUAUGUACAUAAGCCUCUUCACCAAAAAAAAAAAAAAAAAAAAAAAGCCAAACCAGCGUGAAUAGCAAUCAAUAGAAACAGCAGCCAGCGUGCUGAUAACCGCCAAGGAAGCACGAAGCCCGUGUAGCUGUGACAUCGCUGCCGGCGGGUGCUGCUGACUCACAACGAGCACCGGCAGCCCGCGGGCACGGAGCAGCGCUCGGACUUCGGCUCCGGGAAGUGCCGGCAGCGCGUUGUUCCCCGCGGGACGCCGUGCUGCUUUACCAGCAAGAACCUGCCGCUCUGCUCUGCGGAGCCGCGUGGGGCUUUUCGUUUCUUUCAUGCGAAGAUCCAACUGCAGCCAUGCCGAUGGAAGCGGACUGCCUGAGCCCAGAGGCUCAGAAACUGGCUGAAGCGAGGCUGGCGGCAAAGCGAGCAGCACGGGCAGAGGCACGGGAGAUCCGGAUGAAGGAACUCGAGCGGCAGCAGAAAGAGUUUUCAGGGGAGAAGAGAACUUGAGUCUGGAAGAGGUAUCCAGCUAAAUGAUGAAGGCGUUUUUUCACUUUCCACUCCCAGCAGAUCCCUUAUGGCAGAACAGUCGACUUAAAGAAAGGAUUGGGAAGCGUCUGGAGCAAAAUAGCUGAAACUUCAGAUGCUACUGGCUCAGUCCAGCGUGAGAUGUGUUAUUUAGAUUCAAAUAGAAGUGGUCUCAAGGCUAUUGCUUUCAUUAAUGAUUUUCUUUAGGGGAUGUGAAACAUGUAGCUAUGUCACUUCAUAUGGGUGGAGAAAGACACAGCCAUACAAGUCUUUCAAGGAGUGCUUCCUCAUCUCUUCUGCAGAACUGAAAUCAGAAGCCUGUGUCAGAAAGUAAGCAGAGCUGAGGGCAGGCAGUAUGAAAUAUUAGUGUACUAAUGGGGGUAUGGUAUUCCUCCUAUGUGUGAGGAAGGGUCCUCUGUCUUUAUAUUGAGUUUUUAGGAUGCUUUCUUUCUCCUUGGUUGUGUGUAGGCUUUUUGUUUUGUGUUUUUGUUUUAAUUAAACCAAUUUGUAGCGUCAGAAAAUCUUGCCCCUUUUUUUUCUUUGGGAAAGAGGGAGCCUCUAAUAAGGCUUUACCUGAUCUGAUUUACCACAAAGCAUAAUCUGUAGGUUCUGCUCUCAUACACAAUCCUGGCCAGCUGGAAUUCGUAUAGCUUUAAGAACUG